rnacentral:sRNA from 1 species
AUUUAGCCCUGAUAGUAGCGGUAUCGUCUUUUGGGACGAUAAAGCGAAUAGCAGGAAAAUGG